GUGGAGCAGAGUCGUGGCUGUUGUUGCGGCCUGCCAGGGGGUCCAGGCCUAUCGGUCGGAGUUCAGUUGGGGUGUUUGACGGGGAGAUGUGACUGGCUACCCGUCUGAGAGGAGCUUGGAGUACGGCUCUCGCAGGAGCCCGGAUGGAGUCUUCUUUCCAUUGAAGUCGGGGACGAAAUCUGGCUCCCGUAGGAGCCCGGGCGAAGUCUACCUGCAGCUUGGGUCGUGGGCGGAGUCCGGCUCCCGUAGGAGUCCGGGC
rnacentral:lncRNA from 1 species